rnacentral:rRNA from 1 species
AUUGAACGCUGGCGGCAUGCCUUACACAUGCAAGUCGAACGGCAGCGCGGACUUCGGUCUGGCGGCGAGUGGCGAACGGGUGAGUAAUACAUCGGAACGUACCCUGUUGUGGGGGAUAACUAGUCGAAAGAUUAGCUAAUACCGCAUACGACCUGAGGGUGAAAGUGGGGGACCGCAAGGCCUCACGCAGCAGGAGCGGCCGAUGUCUGAUUAGCUAGUUGGUGGGGUAAAGGCCCACCAAGGCGACGAUCAGUAGCUGGUCUGAGAGGACGAUCAGCCAGAAUGGGACUGAGAAACGGCCCAGGCUCCUACGGGAGGCAGCAGUGGGGAAUUUUGGACAAUGGGGGCAACCCUGAUCCAGCAAUGCCGCGUGUGUGAAGAAGGCCUUCGGGUUGUAAAGCACUUUUGUCCGGAAAGAAAUCGCGCUGGUUAAUACCUGGCGUGGAUGACGGUACCGGAAGAAUAAGCACCGGCUAACUACGUGCCAGCCGCCGCAGUAACAC